AUUGAACGCUGGCGGCAUGCCUUACACAUGCAAGUCGAACGGCAGCGCGUCCUUCGGGAUGGCGGCGAGUGGCGAACGGGUGAGUAAUACAUCGGAACGUGCCCGAGAGUGGGGGAUAACGCAGCGAAAGCUGUGCUAAUACCGCAUACGAUCUCAGGAUGAAAGCAGGGGACCGCAAGGCCUUGCGCUCACGGAGCGGCCGAUGGCAGAUUAGGUAGUUGGUGGGAUAAAAGCUUACCAAGCCGACGAUCUGUAGCUGGUCUGAGAGGACGACCAGCCACACUGGGGCUGAGACACGGCCCAGACUCCUACGGAGGCAGCAGUGGGGAAUUUUGGACAAAUGGGGGGGAACCCCGUGAUCCAGCCAUGCCGCGUGCA
rnacentral:rRNA from 1 species